UCACUGUUACGGUCGGUAGCGGAACUGUGGAUCCCGGAGUUUUCGACCUGGGUUCGAACCCUACGGUCGGACGUGUCUGCACCAAGAGCAUGUGAUCUUUGGUCAUGUGCUUGUAGCACGACUUGGCAUCAGCCACAAACGAGUCGACGUGCCCCGGCAUUCAAUCGAUCCUUGCGGGCUGUCGGGGGCAAGAUGUGAGAAGUCCGUCUUGUGCCCUGUUACGGCAAUGGUAGAAGUGGGUACUCUUACAGGGUUAACCCUUCUCACGUGCUUCAAACAGCUGAAGGGGAGUUUAAUCCAGCACAGCAGGAGCAACCCGUGAUGGAGGCGGCUGGGAUUACACCUGUCCUCGGCGAAGCGUCUUAGGGCGCUUUAGUGUGGUGGGCCUUGACUCUAUUCCAUUGGAAAGUGGAUCUUCUGGAACCGUACCAUU
rnacentral:SRP_RNA from 1 species